AGCUGCUGUGGGCUGUGGCUGUUUGGGGUGGGAUGAGGGUGGAAGUGGGUUGUUCCUAAUGUGACCCUUGGCCUUUAAGCUUCUGGCCUGGCAACAGCUUCAUCACCAAUCAGGGGGCUCAGGGUCUGGCUUUGGGACUGGACACUUCGGGUGCCCAGGGAGAAGAUCUGCCAACUCUAAAUCCUCCUUUGGAAUCCGUGCAACUUUCUCCUUCUGCUUUCCCAGGACCUCCUCAGGACCUCCAGGCCGGAAUUGAAAUGUUCUUAGCUAUAAUUGAUCUGCUCAGGUCCUCUGUGGAAUUGGGAGGGGAGGCCAGAGGCACCGCCAGACAGCACAGGCCUCUCGGGGCUGCCUGUUCAUCUCUUUGUCCCAGGGAGGAACACCCUCUAAGAAUGCCUGGGAAAGGAGAACCGAGGAGCGCUGACCUGCCGUCUCAGCGGAGCUCCAGGAGCCCUUCUCCAGUUGGUGCUAGUUUUCUUUACAUACUUCCUCACCCUUGCCUAUACACCUUGUACACCCAGUACACCAGGCUCAUGCUCACGGAUACAUCUAUGAACCUGUCUAUACAAUUUCUUUUGUGCUAUCAGACGCUGCCCACACCUCCACAUAAAGACAUGCUUCUCUUCCUCUUCCCUUCUUCCUGUCCCUUGCUCGCUGUCAGCACCCAUGCUAAUGUGCAUGACCCUGAAAGUUACCCUCAGCAUAUGCCUUUUCCAAACUCAUCUUAUAAAACAGCAACAUGUGCACAUACCUAGAGACCAGGCUGCACAUCCCAUAUGCAUACGUGCCAGGUGACAAUCUACUCCAUCACAGAAUCGCCCAGAGCUCCUUUCUUUACUCCUUCCUCAAGCACCAUCCUCUGGUGGAAACUUCUUCCCCUGGCCCAGGCUCCUCCUUUGGAGUUGAGGAUGCAAAGCAGUGUCAUGUAGGAUUGCAGCACCAGGAGUCAGGGAGCCUGGGCUCUCAGCUCAGGCGGGUUCAUAAGGAGUUAUUUUGCUCAUUUGUCUUUGCAUAACCUCAUAUGCCUUGUGACGCCUUCAAUAAAUAGAUACUCAAAUCUGGCCUCAGUUUCCUCAUCUGUAAAAUGGAUUAAAAUAUCAUCUGCUUUAUCUCCAUCAUGGCGAUGUUAUGGGAGCCAAACCUGAUAUAUAAGAAAGCAGCCUGAAAAGUGUAAUAUGCAUGAUCAUGCAGCUGCUUAGGGCAAUUUGUUUCACGGGUGAAGUCUAAGAGCUGGCAAAGGUAGGGCAGCAUCUUCCCAGUGUGAGCUUGCCUGGUUCUGGUGUUGCCAAGGGCCCCUGCUUACGGGCACAAUGAAUUAAAGUAGAAAUUUCACACCCAGUGUCUUCUUUCUUCCUGCUAAUUUCACCUCCCCCCUCUUCUGUCUUUCCCAGACACAUUGUGGCUACAGAUCCCAGGGAUUAGUAAGGCCAAAAGGGCCCUGGCAUUGAGUCAAGCAUCUGCCCUGGGCACGUGGACACACGGGGGCCUGGCUCCCAGGCUCCUGAGGGCUUGCACCUGGGAGCACUGCUCUCUGCUCCUGGGCCUUGGGGCUGUGCCAAACAGCCGAGUCCAGAACAAGAGGCCCUGUGGUGUGGUGAGUUUCACAGACCAGGCUGGGGCUGGUUCUUGCAUCUGUGCUACCCUUGCUAGGUAUGUGGCUGCCCGAGGCAACCUCCAAUAGCACCUUGAUAUCUAAGAUGGGCAGGCUGGAUUUUUGCCUAGUGCAGAGUCCUCAAUGCUUCAGGCCACAGUGGCUGUUACAGGCUAGGGUAGCCCUGGAAAAGGGAAGGCAGGAUGCUGGGGCCAAUGUCAGCUUUGGAAAGAGGCCAAUAGCUGGCAUCAAGCUGGCUUACAUCCAGCAUGUGAGAGGUGAAAGGACCAUUCUGCAGGAGGGCUGUCUGGCUUUGGGGCUUAGAACAGUGUCAGAUUUGACUCAGAGCCUUUAUUUUUUUAGCUCAGCACUAACAAACCCAGGGUUGUGCUUGUCUCAGUCACUCCUCCUAGAGCUGUAUUCAGAGAAGAAAUUCCAGAGGGACACCUGGUACUUUGUAGAGCAGAGGAGCAUUUCUGGACAUGCUAGGGGGAGAUGGAGCUGAGGCUGGGGUACCAGGAAACUGGGCUCCUACCAGCCAGCUAAGAGGCCUUGGAAGCUCAGGGCUCCCCUACAUGAACAUGGGAACAGAUGUGGUGGACGAGGGCCCCCACGGAAGCCUAUCCCCUGUCCAGGCCCUGCUUUCUGUUAGGGUGACUCUGCACGACCCUCCCCCCUCCUCCAGCUCUGCGGCAGGCUGGCUGGCCAGGAAGCCACCGCCAGGAGGGAGCUGGGCAGACAGGGCCCAGAAGCAGGGCCGGCCUGGGGGUGGAGCCUGCACACUCUGCAAAGCUCCAGCCUGGCUCCACCCCUUCCCUGCCAGGAGCUGAAAAGGAUGACGUCACCCAGACUGAGGCCCUGGGCCGGGAUGGGCUCAUUAGCCGGGAAGCCGGCACCUGCAGGGCUCGAGGAUUUCCCGUGGUUGCCCCGUGAUGGAUCUUCGCUCGUCUCCUGAGGCCUGGUCAGCUCUAGGGGUCUCUGCUUUGGGGUCUUGGAGAUGGCGCCUGGCUAUUCAGACUUGAAGUCUGGGACACUGGUUCAUCACCAGAGACUAACGCCGCCGUGAGCAUCCUCCCCAAGCACGCAGCCCCUCCCCGUCCUGUGUCCGCGCCACCCCGCCCCCCCUCCGCCCAAUGCUCCUUUUCCGUGCUAGCGCUGGCGGCAGCUCCAUUUUUGUGAGGCUCCAUGGAGAAAGAUUAGAUCCCUAAUCUGACCAGGCAACAGUGAGCCCACAGCAAACCAGUGUCCCCCUUCCCUUGGGUCCAUGGCCCCUCCCCCACCCAAAACCCUGCUGGGUGCUUUGUGUUGCCGGCUUGCAGAGCAUAUGCUUGGCUGCUUGCUUUGUGUCUGCUGUUUAUCCCUCUCUUCCUACUUAACUUCUGUUUCUGCUUGGCCCAUCUGGCUCCUGUGGUACCUGCUUUUCACUCCCGUUGCGCUUCCCCUCCAAUGCGGCCUGCCCCCUAUUUACCACUUCCCUCCCAGGGCUUGGCUCUUGUCCACUCUGGGGCUGCUGGCAGGAGCUCUUGACCUGGAGUGUAGGAGCAGUGAGGGACUCCUCCAGCCUAUGGGACUGCCCAGAGGCACAGCUGGGGACCCUGACCUCGGGGUCACUGCGGUGUUCUGGAGACGCCCUUAGGGUGGGAAGUUGAGGCGGGUGGUGGAGGGCAGGUUGGGAGUGGCCUUUGGACUGGGGAGAGGGCUAGGUUCUGGUAGAAACCCUCCCCCGCCAUCUCCCCAGGUCCUUCUGAGCUUCCUUCCUACCAGAGGUGAUUCUUGGGGUCGGGUGGGGGUCACCCAAAUCAGAGUCUUGUAGAUACUGCUCUCUGUUCACGGCAGUGAUGGGAAAGUGACCUGUGAGUAGCAGCAGGAGAGGAUGAGGCCAGGGAAGGCCUGCAGUUCUGACCCAGAACCCCAGGGCACACAAGCUCCUUCCUGCUGAGAAGGGGCUGUGGCAGUCUGAUGGCUUGGGCAAAAGAGAAAAUGGUGGCAGCCUGAAGCUGCAGGAUGCUCACAGUGGGCUCAGAGGGGAGACAGAAAGGCCCUCUCCUUCACUAGCAGUGCUCUGCUGGGGGUCAGUCUCACCCCACACAUCACACUAGGCUCCACACUGCCUGAGUCAUUGCUCUGCCUCCUCCGCCCCCUCACCAGAUUGCACACUUGUGCAUACUUGCACACCCAGGUCAUGGCUCACACUCACCCCUCCAAUGUAGCCUGCUUCGUUCCUGGUGUGAUGUGGCAGCUCAUGGCUUCCUUGGGACUUGUGAGGGGGUGGUGGAGCCUGGAAGAGAAUGGAGGAGAAGAAAUGGGGCCCGACAGGGGCAGGGCUGUCAUUCAUCUGCCUCUCUGGACCUGGGUUGCUCCUCCAGGCUAAGGCUGGCUGCCGAGGAGGCAGAGCUGGGCCUGGAGUCAACAAGGAUCCACGUGCUUGGGGACCAUCGGCUGCUGCUCCCUAAGUUACUCCGCUGGCGCUCCCCAGCACCUGAGGAACAGAGCUGGAGUCAGAUUCUCCGCUUUGGGAUUUGCAGCCCUUGCCUGUGGCAGGUGAAUGAACAGAAGGAACUGGAAAAUGGCAGUUACAGGACAAGGAGAUGCGAGAGCUUCCCGAGGAAGCGGAGAUGAGGGAGCAGCGUUUGGAGAGGGCACAGUCUGCAGCGGGCCAGCUCGAGGACUGAGGCCCUGUCUCUGAGCUUCCCUGAUGACCCCUCCUUUGCACUCAGUCUUGCUUGGCACACCCACCUCUCUUUGCGUUUGAAGCUUCUGAGAACAAAGAAGACCAGGCAAUCUCUUCAAGAUGCCCCCCUGACUGUUUUGGCAGUGGAGUGGCCAGUGAUUCCUGCUGGGGGUCCUCUUCCUAUGGGAGCUUCCUGGGAGUCACCACCGGAAAACUAGAGCCCUGGGUCACAGAUGAGAUCCCUCUGCUUUCACACACAUGUUUUAAAAACAACGAUGCAAAGUGAUCAUCACAAUAGAUCCUGGGGUUCAGAGGAAAUUGAACUGCUGCUCUAAAACCUCGUGCUACAGGAUGCCUGGUGGUGGGGAGCACUUUUGGCCAUAAGAACCCUUAAGCCGAAAGCCCCAGACUGAGGCACGUGUUGUUUUGAGAGGUGAACAGGUCACCCCUGCAUGGUCUUAGGUCCCUCUGCUACCUGCUGGCACAUCAAUCAGAGAUGAGAUUUGCAGGCAGAGAGGUGCAAGUUCAAGUUUCAGCUUCACUACUUGAUUUGGGCAAGUGGUUUGACCUCUCUAAGCCUCAAUUUCCUAAUCUGUAAAAAGAGGACAAUACUUCACUCAGAAGGCUGCUUCAAAGAUUCACUUGAGAUAGGCACACCAUUUAAUCACCACCCAAUAAAUGGUAACAAGGAUGGUGCCUUUAGAUGAUGAUAAUGUUAAAUAGUACCUACAACUACACCAGUGAAUUGGUGGUCUUGACACUGUGGCAAGACUUUAACCAGCUUCAUUAACCUCUGACCUCAUCUGUCCCUUAGCCUCAUUUAAAUUAGACCCAGUGACCAGCAAUUCUCAAUCUCCAUCUCCAUCAGUCUCCAUCAGCCUGAGCUUCCACAGUCACAGCAUCUUCUGAAUGGUUCUACUGGAAGUGACCAGAUCCCACCUGGCUGCUGGCUCAUCUGAAACACAGCCAGUAGGUCUCCUUCCUAGGAUGAUUUCUUGGGCAAGGAGUUGAGAGCAGGAGGAGGGGCUGAGGUCCCUGGAAGAAGGAUGGGCCACUCUGUUUUGGGGCUGCUUCCUGAGAAGUUGGGCCCUCUGCUUGGGAGUUGGCUCAGACCUACGCCUGGCCUCUCAGCCUCCCAGGGAGCCUGCUCCAUGCAGGACAUGUGACCAGCCCUUUGCACUUUGUGCCCCUUGCCCACUCACAGCCAACCCUUUCACACCUCAAUUAGCCACUUAGGGAAAAGAAAGAGCGAGAGCAAGCUGGGGAAAUCUGUCCAGACCAUGAUGAAUACUUUCCCAAGCCUGCUGUUGCCAUGGCAGCCAGCUGGGAACACCGUUUCUAGGGCCUGAGGCGCUCAGACAUGCAUGGGGGGGCUGCCCUGCUGGGCUGCUGCCCACUUGCCUUCCCCCACCCUGGCCUCCUGGCUCCCUUAGCAACAGCCAUCACUAUUGCCAUCGCAACCACCACUGCAGCUCUGCACUGGCCGUGAGCAGUGUCCACGGAGCUCCAGGGGGAAGGUCUGCCUGAUCCUAAAGCUCAUGUUCCACACGGAGGAGGUUUUCAAAGGUGUUUCCCAAUCCCAAUGCUGGGGCUGGAUGUGGUGGAGCAGAAGCAGACGAGCCCUGAACUUGGUGCUGCCCCUCACCGAGUGUGGAGAAAUAAGAAAACCUGACAGGCGGAACCAGGCUUUGAUCAUGCAUUGUUGUCACAACGGAAUGGAUGCGUGACACGAAGAUGCCAAAAAAAUAAAGUAAAUAUUUAAUAAAAGAGGCCAUUUUAGUAUUGGCAAACACCUUUGGGGUAGGUAUCAGAGGGCACAUAACUUGAAAAUGCCCAGCUGUCUUUUGACGAGACCUACUGGUGCUGCUUUCUGGUUUGGGUUCAGGUUCUUGGAAAUUAGAAGUCAGGAGACCGUGAGCAUCCAGAAGAGCAAAGCGUAGAAUCCUCAAGGUGCUUUAGUCCGUCUGCUUUCAUGUUGUCACUCAGGGGCGCUGAGCAAAUUGUCUCGUGGGGUUGGGACUAGAUCCUGGAUGGAUUCAUCAAAGGCUCCAUGUCAAGCUGGGCAACCCCAAACGUAUGCCUUAAAAGAAGGUCUAAUUCUCUUUCAACAUUUCUUUAUCCCAAAGAGGAAGAAAAUUUGACUAGGAAGAAGCACGAGGAUUAGAUUUUGCAUGGUGGCCAGAAUGCAAAGACGGGGCGAUUGACAUGAGAUGCAAAUGCACAAAAUUAGGAUGUCAUUUCUUUAACCUCAUGGACACGUAAGUCAGAGACCAUAACAUUCCCAGAUGGAGCUCCACAGCUCCGCAAGUGCCCCAGAGCUCUUGUGAUCCACAGCUGAGGGUGGCCCACCCAAGGGAGUUCAGAUUCUGCCAGAGCUCACCCUGCGAUGCUCUUUCACCAUUCCAUGUUUCGUUUGUUCCCUCCUGCCCUAAUACGGCCCCUGACUGCCUGACUCUUCUGGGGACUUCUGCCAUGAGCUGGCCUGUUCAGCAGGUGCAAACAAUUUAUGCAGAGUUUUCCUCCCACUCCCCGGUUAAUUAUGAAAUCAAGAAGAACAAAGGUCAGUUUUUCAGGACUAUCCCUUGGCAGGUCUGGGCUUCAGGCCCAUCUGCAUUCUGGAUGCAGACUGCAUCCAGAGCAUUCUGGUAGCCACAGAGCUCUGGAAAUCAGGAUGAUUUAACCAUCAGAUUGGGUACCCAAGUAACCAAGAUCUUUACCCCUAGAGACCAUUAGAACUAAAAUCCCAAUUUUUACCCCUAACUGGAGGCAUGCCCCUCCCUGGUGGGACAGGCCUGCUGGCCUAUGAUGCAUCCUUCUCCACUCCCAGGAGUCCAGUUCUUCUCUCAAAGUCCCGCUCCUCACACACUUCAGCCUCUGCCAGCCACUGGACAAUCAGCAGCACCCUCCUGUGAAGCCGCCUCCCCACUUAUCAUUCAUGGACUGCAGCCUCUCGCCAUUUACCACAUGGCCAACAACAAUCAGCAUAUAGAUUGAGCUGUGAAUAUAAGAAGAGCAAACUAAAAACGGAGAAGAGAAUGUUAUAGAGCCGAGUUGGCCUCUUCUGGGGAGAAGAGAGCUUCUCAGAGGAGGGUUGAUCAGUUGCCUCUGCCACUGGGCAAAGGGGAAGGGGAAGAGUUUUAACAGGAGGUUUGAUCACUACGCUUGCUCUGCAGACAUAUAGGCUCAGAGACGGAGGAGAGGGGAAGGCCUAAGCUGGGCCCAGGCUGCUGGCCUUAUUCUCUGUUUCCUUCCUCCCUCCCUCUGUCGGUCAGCAAGCCGGCAUUCAGAAUGUAUCUCCUUGCUGAGAGGAUUCCUACGGUCUAUCUUUAUUUGCAAUUUUGGGUCUUGUUCUUCCUCAGAUCCGCCAGCUCUGAAUUUCUGCUACAAAAUAUGUCUUUGCUGAGUCUCGUCACUAUAAGGCAUUUAAGAUGCAGUGCUAGUCCCCCUUGUGUGGGGCACAGGGUCACAUUCGAGGUGGGGAGCUUGAGGGGCAUAGAUUUAGAAUAUAUAUUUGGGAUUCCAGACUAGGGAACUUACGCCUCAUGAGAUGCAAUGGUUUGCCAAAGAUCUUGCUCGUUGGUGGAAGAGCAAGAAUAGAACUCAGGUCAUCCAACUCCUGGCCCCUCCUUUUGCCGACAGAGCCUUCUCUAGGCAGGGAGCUCUGUGGACUAUAUGGCUGCACAGCUCUGGUAGCUGAGCAGCAGCCCUGCCAAGCUUUGUUGCCUCAAACCCUUUUCAGACAUCCUGUGCCUGGCACCAAGGGUCCUGUGCAUUCUGAGGUCUGCCCUGGCCUCACAUUGUCUGGGGGAAACAUGAGUUAGAGUGACGCUUUGGGCAUUAAGCCUAGAUAAGCAUCCCAGACUGUGCAAAGUCCGAGCUCUGAAUGAAGUCACAAAUAUCUUUUGCUCUUUGACCCUCCUGGUCUUGUUGCUUGAGCUCCAGAUCCUCUUCCUCUCAGUCUCCUCGAUUUCUCCGGCAUCCGGGGCAGCUCAUGAUUUUCCCAGGGAUUGCUGUCAUUUCCUCAUGCUUGGACUUGUCAUCAUCACUGCUCCCACAGCUGAUUUUCAGAGUGCUUCCUUUCCCCGUCUCCGCCUUCAUGGUGCCUCCUCCACUCCACGUGUUGCUCCUUUCAGUGCUCUGCACAGCUGCUCUGUCCUUAUCAGAUGACUCUCUUCUUCCCAAGCUGGAGGAGAGCAUAGGAAGCCUCCCUAGUGCCCAGAGGUAGGGCAGACAUCUCCCAGCAGACCAGACACCCUCUGGCAAUGUGAGCCACAUUCAACAAACUUCUAUUGCAUACCUGCGAUGUGCCAGGUACUGUGCCAGAUGCUGGGGUAUGCUGUCACCUAAAACUGGGUCCCUACCCUCAGAGGAGUGCUCAGUUGAAGCAGUCAAAUAAAUCAAUGGCUUCACUAUAACAUAAUGGGCCUAUGUUGGGCCACAGUGAACCUAUGAGAAAGGACGUUUUAUUUAAAAAAAAAAUGGAGGGACAGUCAAGUCAACCUGGGGAGCGGGAAGCUCUCAGAGAAGGUGGUGAAGGAGCAUUAGAGGUCGAAUAGGGGUUAGCUUGGCAAAUAAGGCUUGGGGAAAGGGCAUGAGAGAAGGCUGCUUCUGUUCCCACCUGGGAAAAUGAAAAGGGGAAGAUCACUGGGCAAGUGUCCAGUUGCCUUGGAUUCACUGGAAAGCUUUCUACCCAGUAGAUGGCUGGGCUCCUAGUGAGCGAUAUUCUCACCAGGGAGAGGGUGUUAUGGUAGAAAGAGCUCUCCAAUAAGGAAAGUCAAAAGACACAGAUGUGGACCUUGGGUCUGCUGUGAACUAGCUAUGGAAAGUCACUGAAACUUACCUCAUGAAAAAUGAGAGAAUUGGACAAGAUGACCUCUAAAAUCCCUUCCAGCUCUAGAACUAUUCUCUUCCUUUAAAACAUUUGAGAAAAUCAAAUAAAAACAGAUAAGAUUCGUACACACUAAGACCUGCUCCUAGGAAGUCGGAUUAGGGGUCAUUAAAGAUGGUGGUGAGAGAACCCGCCCCUUCCUGGUGGGUAGAUUGGGCUGGAAGGGAAAAGAAAGGCUCAUUCCCCUUUGUCAGGUUGGGAUUCCCUCCGUCUAUGAGCAGGAGGACAUUGGGGCCAAAAAACCACAACUGAUUGAGAUGCCAGCGGGAACUCUUCCUGUCACGAUGUUUCACUCCAGCGCCUUCAUUUCUAUUAUUAUACCAAGUGAUUUAUUCCAAAAACAUAAAACAAGCAGCAAAAGAGUAACUGGCUCCCUAAGGAGAGGUCUCUUCCUCUUCCUCUUCCCUGCAAGCUGUCUCCCAUGAAAGUGCCUGCCUUAUGCUGAGCCUAAGCCCACUCUCUGUGGGAAGAGCUGCGGGGUGGUUAGGGAGAGGGGAACUCAAGGUGCCAUCUUUAAGUCUGCCCAGAAUACUUGGCCUUCACAGUUCUGAUCAGGCAGUUCUCUCUACAAGUUUCUGCUGUAAUGUAUUUGAAACCUGGGUAAACAUCAUUCUCUGCCUUGUGCUGUAGUUUUCUCAUCUCUUAAAUGGGGAGCAAAAUUCUUGACAGCUUUCCUUUACAAGACCAGGGAGAUGCUAAGACUUCAGUCCUGGCCAGAUGAUUGGUUGGAUCAAACCCAUGCCCUCUCUCCUCUGCUUGUUGGUAUCCCCAUCUGGAGAAGAUAAACACAGCCGUGAGCAGUGCCCCUUCUCCCACAGGGCCAUCGUGGGGGUGCCUGUUAUCGUUACUCCCCAAACCAGGGGGCUAGCAAGAGAAGUGCUUUCAUGGAAAGCCUGAGGGCCACCUGCUAAGUCUUUGAAAACUAAAAGCGUAGUUUUAAGAAUCCUCCCAAUAAUUCACUUUGCCUGGCGGCUUCUGACUGACAUGGAAAUUGGUUAAGGUCAAGCAGAGCCCUGAGUCAUGUGGGGGGGUGGGAUGGGCAGAGCAUGUUACCAUGACGUCCUGGGUAAUCACUUCCUUCUCGGAAUUCAGGAGGACAUUUUGCUUGUACAGUUCCCUCAUUUGUCACUCAGCAUAUGCUAUCUUAUAUUUUAGAGAUUUAAAAAAAAUAUAGCCCAUCUAUAUUUUAAGCCUUUCAAGGGAAAGAGUAGAGUGAUACAUAGUAGGUUUUGAAUAAAUGAUUGGUUUUGUAGUAGAUGAUGAUUAUAAUCCUAGCUUCAAGAUUUAUGAAUCUAUGAAACAAACAUAAUUGUGAAGUUAGACCAUAAAAUGUCUUAAAGUCCCGGGCCAACUUCCUCACGGACUUACAUGGCAGAAGUUACAAUAGUUUGUCUUUAAGAUCCUUAAAGAUGUGUAUAUGAAUGGAAGAUCUACAUCUUUCAUCAUUUGAUUCUCAUUUUGCAAGUUGCCCGUGAUCACACAGUUAGUAGUGACAGAGCUUGAUUAGAACACCAUCUAAUUCAAGGCUCAUUUUCUUUCUACUACAUCAUGAUUCCUCUUGGUGUGUGGACAAAGGCAGUGAUUUCCCGACAGUUCCGUGAACUCUGUUAUGGAUCAGGAGACUGAGGCUACAGAGGAGAAGGGAACUGCUCACAGUGACCCCGCUGCUUACAGGAAACCACAAAGACAGGAAGAUGGCUCGAGACAUAUGGUGGAAACCAAUUAAAACCAGUUGAAGGCAACAUGGCAGUCUGAGUUGACCUGACAUAGACCCCGCAGCUCAUUAUACACUCACUGUGAUAUAUUACCAUGCUCCGUAACACACCCACCAAUGCCAUGACAGUUUGUAACCAAAUAAGGAAAGAAAAGAGGUGGCAUCCUUGUUCCCCUGAAAAGCCUGCCCAUUUCCCCAAAUAACUAUGAAUAUUCCUCCUCUUCAUUACCUUGACCCCUGAUAACAACUGCUUAAUGGCCCCAAGAGCUGAGAAGUUGGUUUGUUAACUUAAGUUCCCACUUCUCCAUUCAUGGCCAUUGAAUAAAGCUUGUUCUGUUGAAUGCUCA